rnacentral:rRNA from 1 species
UACGUAGGGGGCAAGCGUUGUCCGGAUUUAUUGGGCGUAAAGAGCGUGUAGGCGGCUAGGUAGGUCCGUUGUGAAAACUCGAGGCUCAACCUCGGGACGCCGAUGGAAACCAUCUAGCUAGAGUCCGGAAGAGGAGAGUGGAAUUCCUGGUGUAGCGGUGAAAUGCGCAGAUAUCAGGAAGAACACCCGUGGCUAAGGCGGCUCUCUAGUACGGUACUGACGCUGAGACGCGAAAGCGUGGGGAGCGAACAGG